CCCGCGGUAGCUCAGCCUGGUAGAGCUUCCGGCUGUAGACCGGAGUGUCGCUGGUUCAAAAUAGGCUCGUGCCUAUGAGACUCCGGCCCGCGGGACCA
rnacentral:tRNA from 1 species